rnacentral:lncRNA from 1 species
CGCGAUUAUUUUCGGUGAUUAUCCGGCGGAGUAUAACCCGAAGAUCCACGGACCUUACGAUCCGUCCGUUACUACGGCAAG